ACUGACUUAGCCACUUGCUACAAAGCUAUCAGAGUUGAAUGUAAAGAAGCUGGAAAAACAUUCGCUGAAUUUCCUAUCCAAAUAUAACCACCAUCUUGGUCAGACACAUGGGCUCUUUGAUAUGAGAUAUGAAGAAGAUAUCCUCAGCUAGUUCGCUCAAUUCAGCAGCAACAUAAUAAAGAAGAAAAUGAAAUUAUUGUCAAGACAGUCUCAAGAACUGAAGGAAAUUCAGAUGAAAUAAAACUGGGCAGGAAGGAAAAGGAAGAGGGGAGAAGAAAAAAGGAGAAAAAGAAGACAGAAAAGUCUGAUCCCUGCUGCAACAGCCAAUGAGAGAUCCGGCUCUGACUGAUACCUAUGUAGAAAGAGAAAUAGGUUUUGGGGGGCACUGAAAUUACAGUGAAAUUAAUAAAGGAUCUUUUGGUUCUAGGUUACUGGGUGCUUUAUUCUCUGUGUCCAGUCCAUAAGGAAGUUGCAACCUGAGCAAACUAUUAUUGGAUUCCUUUGUAAAGACUGACUGCACUGGCUAGGAUAUACUCAGAAAUUAUCUCUU
rnacentral:lncRNA from 1 species